ACGGGAGGCAGCAGUGAGGAAUAUUGGUCAAUGGGCGGAAGCCUGAACCAGCCAUGCCGCGUGAGGGACGAAUGCCCUAUGGGUUGUAAACCUCUUUUGCCGCAGAGUAAUAAGGGUCCUGCGGGGCCCGAUGAGAGUAUGCGGCGAAUAAGCAUCGGCUAACUCCGUGCCAGCAGCCGCGGUAAUACGGAGGAUGCAAGCGUUAUCCGGAUUUACUGGGUGUAAAGGGCGUGUAGGCGGGACAUCAAGUCAGAUGUGAAAGCACGAGGCUCAACUUCGUGUCUGCAUUUGAAACUGACGUUCUUGAGUGUUGGAGAGGCUAACGGAACUCCUAGUGUAGCGGUGAAAUGCGUAGAUAUUAGGAAGAACACCAGUGGCGAAGGCGGUUAGCUGGACAAUAACUGACGCUGAGGCGCGAAAGCGUGGGUAGCAAACAGGAUUAGAUACCCUGGUA
rnacentral:rRNA from 1 species